AACUCGGGGGCUGUGCCUACCUGAUGAGCCCCAGGAAGGGCGAAACCGGUC
rnacentral:hammerhead_ribozyme from 13 species